AUAGGAUAAAUUUAGUGAUAUUAGGAUUAAAUAGACUUUGAUAUUUUUUUAUUUUCUGGUGAGAUACUGCUUAUUAAGCAAGUUUACUGUUGUGUGAUAUUAAUAUUUUUAUAUCUAUUGUUUCAUGGAACAAAUAGGGUUUUUUUCUGUGGAGAAAUGAGAUUUUUUAAAAUGUGCUACAGCUUUGAUUAAUUCAUUUUAUUGAGGUGAUGGAUGUAGAAGAGUUAAAUCAAGCUUUAAUUAUACCUUUUAUAUUGUAUUCUCAGGAAAAAUCUAACAUACUAAUCACCUCGCCAAUAGUUGGGAAUUAGAGUGAACUAAAUUUCCAGAAAUUCUUAGUAUAUAGAAUUAUCACAGAGCCAUAAAAUGACUUGGAUUGGAAGGGAACUUAAAGAUCUACUUACAGCCCUCCGCCAUGGGCAGGAUUGCCAUCCACUAAGUCAGGGUGCCCUAGGCCCCAUCCAACCUUGCCUUGACUGCCUUCAGGGACAGGGCAUCCACAGCUUAUCUGAGCAGCCUGUGCCACUGCCUCAUCAGUAACCAAAAUCUCCCCUCUUUUAGAUUAAAGCCAUUCCCCCUUGUCUUAUCACUAUAAGAACAUGUAAAGAGUCAGUUUCCC
rnacentral:lncRNA from 1 species